GUGUUAUUUUAUUAAUAGCAGGAAGGUUUUACAUUAAUGUGCAACGCAUAGGAUCGCCGUUCAAAGUGCUCGCACGCCCGCAGCUGAGCGAAAAGUGAUGUGGAAAAACAUCAGGCGACAGAUUAUUUAAAUGAGAUGCGUGCGUUCACAAGUGCGUGAAGUUACAGUGGGCAAUUUGGGCAGUAUGGAUAGGGGUGUGGCAAUGGAAAACGGGACUGCGACACUGCGCCGAUACAGAUCAACCGAAAGCAGCUAAACUACUGAUCAGGGAAGAACCAUGGCCAAUACGUCCCGUAGUUUUUUUGUGUGUGCUGCCAGGACUGCUCUCAGUUAACCACGUCGUGCUAGCAUGGUCAGGAUGCCAAUAGUUGUCCUAGUCGUUCGGCCCAAGCUUGUAUUCCUUCAUCCUCAUCUGCUCCUGAUCUGCGAUAAGUGCUGCUCCUCCUGCUCCAGCCCUCUAGGUUGCUGGGCGGUCCUGUGCGUAGUGCCGUACGACAGAUAGUUCGCUCUCAAGCAAAUGUGCCGGCUAUUGCAUCCUAUUGGCUUUACAUAGCUUUGCAAGAUGAUCCGGGGCCACAUAGCUCUGCAAAAAUCCAAAAAGUAGCACGCCAUAAAGAUGGUUCGGAUGAUGGUUCGGCGUCGUCUAAACAGGUCGAUCCGAACCCACCGGGUAAGAGCCAUCCGUUAGCAACCCGGAGUAGUUCGGAUGACCUGGUAGGGUGCAAUCAUUCGGGUCAAUACGAACUCGUCUCUGACCUAGCGCACCUGCUGCAUCCACGGGUCUGAUUCGUUUCCGAUUGGCAUGACCCGUGGGUCUUAAAACCCCAAAAACUCUCGCUCGAAAAAUCAAAAACCAUUUAAGGCCGGGCUACAUUGAUCGUACUCCUGAGUGUAAUUUUUGUGAACGCGUACGCCAUCUAGCGGCGGCGGGUCGAAGCUAGAGGCUGGUAUAAUUUAUCUGUCAAAAAGCGUUUUGGGUCGAGGAGCCUAUAAUUUUGAUCACAAACCAGUAAACAAACAGCUCGCCAUGGAACAAGCAGGAAGCAGUCGACGCAAUGAAAAAAUAGUAAGUACAACGACUUACAAAAACAAUCGCCAGCGAGGGAAAAUCGCAUCGAUUUGGAGCGUUGGCGAGCACUCGAAAAGCCGGAUUUUGGCCUGCGGCUUGUGUUUACACGAUCGGGUGCGAUUCUUUUCGAUGCGAAAGCCAUAAAGGGUCGCCUACACAGAGUGCUGUUUGUUUGUCAAAAUAGAUCGCAAUCGUUAAAAUCUGUCAUUUUAUUUCAAACAUCCAACCAAAACUGGCUUCGCCAAAUGCUACAAAAACUUAUAAAUUUCAAUAAAUA